CUCUCAACUCCAUUACUAUGCUAUCACUUUUGCCAUUUCCAAAUCUACACUUUUUCCUAAGAUUGGUGCCUGUCUUAGACAUCAGAGGAUCUCCCAUUAAACACUCUCGUAGAUUUUCAUAUUUUUGCUGUUUCAGGUCGGAUCUGAUGUAGGAGCCCCUUGUCCGAGCGCAACCACUAUCAUCCAACUUACUCGACAUCAAGGUUAGGCCAGAUUGCAGCAGCAACAAUAGCUUGCACUACUGACAAGCUAAUUUCUUUCCAUUAGC
rnacentral:lncRNA from 1 species